UAGGGAAUCUUCCGCAAUGGGCGAAAGCCUGACGGAGCAACGCCGCGUGAGUGAUGAAGGUCUUCGGAUCGUAAAACUCUGUUAUUAGGGAAGAACAAAUGUGUAAGUAACUAUGCACGUCUUGACGGUACCUAAUCAGAAAGCCACGGCUAACUACGUGCCAGCAGCCGCGGUAAUACGUAGGUGGCAAGCGUUAUACGGAAUUAUUGGGCGUAAAGCGCGCGUAGGCGGUUUUUUAAGUCUGAUGUGAAAGCCCACGGCUCAACCGUGGAGGGUCAUUGGAAACUGGAAAACUUGAGUGCAGAAGAGGAAAGUGGAAUUCCAUGUGUAGCGGUGAAAUGCGCAGAGAUAUGGAGGAACACCAGUGGCGAAGGCGACUUUCUGGUCUGUAACUGACGCUGAUGUGCGAAAGCGUGGGGAUCAAACA
rnacentral:rRNA from 1 species